GAGCUCCUGACAUCAGGUGAUCCACCCACCUCAGCCUCCCAAAGUGCUGAGAUUACAGGUGUGAGCCUCCAAACCUGGCCCACUCAGGCUUCUUGAAUUCACCACUUCCUGGGUCUGUUGCCCGUGUUUCCUCACCAAAGACAAUUGAUGAGAUGCCCCCAAUUGGUGGCAUUGCCACCACUUGAGCAGGUCCUUCUGAGUCUGAAAAUAGUUUGCACUUCCUGUGCUGCAGGUAUUGCAGCUCCUACAUUAGCCCCUGGAAGGAAACAUUUCUCUUGGAAACACCAGUGUUGGGCCGUCCAUGUGCUUCCUCCUUGUAGACAACUCGGAAGUGUGUGUGAUUUCCAACUUCAUGUCCUUGAGCCCCAGACGGCUUCAGAAGGCCAUCCCACUGAACGGCGCUCAAGGACGUGCCGGCUUCUUUCUGGGUAUCACAGCAGGGUGAGCAUUGUGCUCCAGUGACAGCCCAUGAUGCCCAGCGCUCUGACCUCAGAGAAGAGUUCAUCCAAUACAAUGAGAACCCCAAAUGUAAACUCACUUCAUUUCGCUCCUUGUUCCAAUGGAAAAACCGUGCCUUGGCUCUUGUGCUGCUUCUUGUUUAGAGAGGAACUGAGAACUUCACAAAGAUAAGGCAUUAAUAGGACUGGGUCCUGUGUAGGCACGAAGUGGGGGAGAAUUUAGAUUUGCAGCUGUGUGCAGCCACUUAGACUAGAUAUCGGAGUGGCUGGCCUUGGGCUUUAGGGUGGGGACCGCAGGCUGUCUGGCUUGCCCCUGAGAUGUCACGGGGCCUAAUGGAAUUCUGUUACUAUUGUUGAAUGGCUGAAUAAGAACAGAUGAGGGUGUUCCUUCCCUCUGACACGUAGUGGGGAAAGUGCGUCUCUGCAUGUCCAGUGCCCUGUGGCUUGGCCUUACAGCCCUCAUGUCUACACCCGGGGUGCCUGGGACCUCCCCUGCGUCUUCCUAGGUGCGUGGCCUCUGUGCGAAGAAAGACGAGACAAACAGCACCGGGUUAGAAACUGGCGAAUCACUGUGAUGUGUGACCAAGGCACUAUGCUGGGGAGAGUCCUCUUAAGACGAGGUGUUCUUUCCCCGAGAGCCCGAGCCCAGGCUGGCGGUCCUCCCCCAUGCUGCCGUGGGCACGUGCCUCGCUCCAGAAAGGGCUGUUUCCUUGUAAUGGAAUUAUUCCGACUUAGCCUUUAGACCACACCAUCAGCCUUUCCAAAGGCAGGGGUGGUGCCAUCUCUAGGUUUAUCUUCCUGGCCCCAGCUCAUUGUCUGACGCUUGUCACUGUUCGGUUCCCUUGGAGAUGAAACAGGCAGAAGUAUUAGCCACAGUCAAAGACUGUAACUUCUUUUCAGAUGUUCCAGAGGUGGGAACCUCCCUCACCAUUUGCCUUGUUGUUCUGAUUAAGUGAAUACUCUACCAAGCCCAUGUGAGGCUCUCUUUUUCAUUUCAUGAGGAUGGAGCUAUUUUCCUGCUCAUUAAAAAGGCCUUUUGUAGAAAGAAGACAGCUAUGGGGAAUAUUUUUUGUUUGCUGUAUCUGUGUUAGGAAGUUAGUAUUCGUUAAUUAUGUGCUACUUUCCCAUGUGUUUUGCACAAAAAAUUGGUGAACAACAAUGGCUUUCUACUUGUACAUUCUUGAAACGCGUGCAUUAGAUUUUUCUAUUUCGAACUGAAGGCUAAUAUUAGGAUAUCAUGUUGACUUAUCAAGACGUUAAAACCAAAAGACCUCUGAAGCUUCCAAAUCGUGCUUACUGAUUUCAGGAUUAUGCCUCCCGCCCCCAAAAUCAACACAUAUAAUUUAAAAGCUGUGGGGGUCACAUUAGUCUGAUGUCAGAGAGACGCCUGUGGCUUGUGGGUUCCCAGAUUCCAGAAUUUGGGCUUUCCUCCCAGCGUAGCUCUGCUUGUGAUCAAUGUUUAAGUCAGAGAGACACUAAGCAAACUUCUAAGAGGAGAGGGGUGAAAUUAGCAGCCUCUUUUCAGAUGAGUCUACCUGGGGGAGCACAUUGUGUCUGGGUGUGCAAUUGAGAGCUGUGUGUGUCCACCUGUGCCUGAGCAUCCACGUGCACCCGCCGUGGCUGUGGCAGCCCUGCUCAUAGGUGGCCGUGUCUGCAUCAUGGACAGACCCUUUGCUGAAGGCUCCUGGCCCAUGGCCGUCUCUGUCAUAGAGUGCUGUUCCUUGGGCUGUAGGAGAGCCUUUGCCACCUCACCCCCUUAUCCUGUCGACCUGUCACAGCUUUGCCAGCCAAGCCAUAGUGACUAAAGCCUUUGGGGUCAUGAAAAAUAGCCCCACAAAUGCCACCCAGUGCUGUCCAAGAUCACCCCGCCAGCCUGAGUCCUGGCUUAGCAUGGUGGGACCUGGGCCUGAUGAGCCCCAGAUGAGCUCACAAAUGGCAGGUAGUCUUUGAGGGAUACUUUGAUGUGCAUGUGUGUGCAUGUGUGUGUGUUGCAUGAAUGUGAGAGCAUGUUCAUGCCUGUGUGCAUGUGCCUGAGAGUGCACUGUGUUCAUGCGUGUGCCGUAUGUGAGGGAGCGUAUGCAUGUGUCUACAUAUGCAGAUGUCUGUAUACACAGACGUGUGUGUGCAGGUGCACGUGUGCGUGUGUGUGUGAGAGUGCCCAUGUGCCUAUGCAGUGCCCAGACACCUUGGCCCUUGCCCUUGUACCGACCUUGCUGUGCUGAGUUCACAUCACGGCUCAGACAGUUCACAUUCUUAUCUCCCUGCAUUAAUCACGUCAACACAUUUCACUUUUGGCUAAGUAGCCAUUUCUAGUCAAUGUCAAAAAACAAAUGUGUGACUUAAAAACUACCUGCUGCCAUAAAAUGUUCUAGUCGACAUUAUUCUUUAUUUUCUUCAACCUCUCUUUCCUGAAAUCUCUGAUUUGAUGACUCAUCUUUUCUGAGCAUAUUGUAUUAUUUGAUGACAGAGAGAAUCAAGUCAUUACUGUUCAGUCUCUGUCUUUCCCAUGAAGAACUAAACGUCCUUCAAACUGAGAGCAGUAAAUGAGACAUGGUAAGGA